AGUGAACGCUGGCGGUAGGCCCAACACAUGCAAGUCGAACGGCAGCACAGUAAGAGCUUGCUCUUACGGGUGGCGAGUGGCGGACGGGUGAGGAAUACAUCGGAAUCUACUUUUUCGUGGGGGAUAACGUAGGGAAACUUACGCUAAUACCGCAUACGACCUACGGGUGAAAGCAGGGGAUCUUCGGACCUUGCGCGAUUGAAUGAGCCGAUGUCGGAUUAGCUAGUUGGCGGGGUAAAGGCCCACCAAGGCGACGAUCCGUAGCUGGUCUGAGAGGAUGGACAGCCACACUGGAACUGAGAAACGGUCCAGGCUCCCAAGGGAAGCCACAGUGGGGAAAAAUUGACAAUGGGGCCAAACCUGAACCAGGCAUACCGCGUGGGUGAAGGAGGCCUUCGGGUUUUAAAGCCCUUUUGUUGGGAAAGAAAAGCAGCAGGUUAAAACCCCGCUGUUCUGACGGUACCCAAAGAAUAAGCAACGGCUAACUUCGUG
rnacentral:rRNA from 1 species